AUUGAACGCUGGCGGCAGGCCUAACACAUGCAAGUCGAGCGGAUGAAGGGAGCUUGCUCCUGGAUUCAGCGGCGGACGGGUGAGUAAUGCCUAGGAAUCUGCCUGGUAGUGGGGGAUAACGUCCGGAAACGGGCGCUAAUACCGCAUACGUCCUGCGGGAGAAAGUGGGGGAUCUUCGGACCUCACGCUAUCAGAUGAGCCUAGGUCGGAUUAGCUAGUUGGUGGGGUAAAGGCCUACCAAGGCGACGAUCCGUAACUGGUCUGAGUGGAGGAUCAGUCACACUGGAAGUGGGACACGGUCCAGGCGCCUACGGGAGGCAGCAGUGGGGAAUAUUGGACAAUAGGCGAAAGCCUGAUCCAGCCAUGCCGCGUGUGUGAAGAAGGUCUUCGGAUUGUAAAGCACUUUAAGUUGGGAGGAAGGGCAGUAAGUUAAUACCUUGCUGUUGUGACGUUAACAACAGAAUAAGCACCGGCUAACUUCGUG
rnacentral:rRNA from 1 species